UGUUAGUGAUGGCUGUGUUCGUGUUCCGACUACAAUCCAUAAACAUCUGAUCUCUGCACUUAACAUCAUUACAGCAAACUAACCGCAGACUUUUUUUCUUUACCCGUAGAAACCUCUGCGCCAUGAGAGCGAAGUGGAGGAAGAAACGAAUGCGCAGGCUGAAGCGCAAAAGAAGAAAGAUGAGGCAGAGGUCCAAGUAAACUUGUACACCUAUGGAAGCCACAGAAGCAGAAACAAGGGAAGCCAGAGGCCAGGGACGCUGGUACAAAGUGUGGACUGCAUGCCUACUAUCUAGAACUUCUCAAUGGAUCUGGAACAUCUAUGGCCAUUCUGAUCGCCUUGACCACCUUUGAGAGACCUACCUUGCUCAUAUCAAAGCCGUCCCUUUUAUUGCCUUGGACCUGUGAUAACUAUGGACUAGUUCUCUUCUCAGUUGUGGCUGAAUGUAACGUGUACAAUAAAUCAUCUCUUUUGCUGUCUUAGCUGAAGAAAAA